rnacentral:rRNA from 1 species
AUUGAACGCUGGCGGCAGGCCUAACACAUGCAAGUCGAACGCGUGGCGGACGGGUGAGUAAUGUCUGGGAAACUGCCUGCUGGAGGGGGAUAACUACUGGAAACGGUAGCUAAUACCGCAUACCAUCGGAUGUGCCCAGAUGGGAUUAGCUAGUAGGUGGGUUAAAGGCUCACCUAGGCGACGGUCCCUAGCUGGUCUGAUAGGAGGACCAGCCACACUGGCAGUGAGACACGGUCCAGACUCCUACGGGAGGCAGCAGUGGGGAAUAGGGCACAAUGGGCGCAAGCCUGAUGCAGUCAUGCCGCGUGUAUGAAGAAGGCCUUCGGGUUGUAAAGUACUUUCAGCUGGGAGGCGUUACCCGCAGAAGAAGCACCGGCUAACUCCGUGCCAGCCACCGCGGUAAUUC